rnacentral:lncRNA from 1 species
AAAACUCCUACGAGGCUCUAAUGGAACAGAUCUGAAACGAAACAGAAAUUAAAAGAUUAGAACUUUGAAUUUCCAGAUCUGGAAUAAAAAUCCCCAAACCAGCAAAGAAUCAAAUUGAGAAUAGGAAUAAGUGUUAAUAAAGGUUCUUGGGGAAUCAAGAACAUGUAAUUGAACCCCAAAGAAUACUCCAAUCUGCUGAAUCUGAAAAGAAAGACACAAACAGCAAGUUAAAUUUCCCCAAAAUUCCAGCAAUCA